ensembl:lncRNA
GACAAAUGUAAGCAAGAAAAUAGGGGUGGGGGGAGAAGGAGAUGACCUAAAUACAGAGAUACUGGAGAAAAUAUCAUGAAGAGAAGUCGUGACUGAAACAAAUCAACAGGGCCAAUACACCGCCAUUGCCAAGGAAAUCUUGACUCCUCUGUCCAAAUGCAUCUGCCCACAACCGUACAGGCUUACUCAUUGCUUCCAGCACACAGAUGGAGCUAACAGUCCCCGUGAGAUGUGAGUGAAGGACAGCACUCGCCAGGCUGGGAAGCAGCCCCAGCCCCGACAUGCUUUCCUUUGGCUCCUGCUCUGCUGCCUCCUACUGAUUUCAGAAGCCCAAAUCCAUCUCCUUGUGGGAUGCCACAGCUCCUUUCCAAGCCCCUCCCCAGAUCUCCUCUGCCUGUUUGCCUGGAGCUCGCUGUUCUGCAGGACUUCAGAUGGACCCCUCCAUACCCACAGGAAGGAGCAGCUUUGGCACUGGUAACCAGCAACACUCAGCUUUGGUGGAGUCCAAGCAGUGAGGCAGUUCGGCAACUUGUUACACACUGCAAGAAUGACAGCUUACCCAGGUUCUUCAUAAGCAAAAGAAGAGUGCCAGGAGCCCUCUACCAGCCAGCAGCUCCCCCAGGCAGAGCUGGAGCAUGACUUCUGCUGUCGAUGGCUUUGUGGUAGUUGCUGAUGACAUCAAACUUGUUUAUUUUCUCUGAAGAGGUUUACAUCCUGAUAGCUAGGCACGUGCCUAGACCUCAUUUGUGGAUGUUAGCAGUCUGACCUCAGUCUUGUCAACCGAUUCCUGUUUUUCAAUCUAUUCAAGUUCUCUGCUGAAACCUUUGCUGCUGUCUGCCCAGCUGAAGCAAAAGGGGAAGGACAAUGAAGGACAGGAGUGGAGGGGCUCAUAGCUGCUGGGAGGGUAUUUUCCAGCCUCAGGAAUCCCCCGUGGAAUUAAUGCACUGUUUUUGUCUUCCAGUUCACACAAAGCUUGCUUUUCACUUCACAGCCCACAGCAUCGCAGACAGCAUUCAGGACAUCAGCACACCAGAGGCUGCUGAAGCAUCGUUGUUUUCCUUCCAGCCUUCUCAGUGCCCACUCCUCUGCCUUUCUGUGCAUGCCAAAAGCAUGCUGUGUGCUCCAGUGCCUGGAGGCAGCAUCACAUAAUGGGUGGGAACUCCUCUGGCCUGUUUUGCUGAGAGGAAGCAAUGCAAAGAUGCAAAUACCUGAACUCAGAGCCAUGGAACUUCCCACACUGGUUUCAUGAAGUUUCCACAGCAGAACCAGGCUCUUCACAGUUACCAAACCUGCUGCCUCGAGCAGCAGCGUGAGCUGUGGGCAGGGAGAUGCCCCAGUGGUCCAGCACAGGUUGAAAGCCUCAUUUUCUGAAAGCCAGCUACUGUAUUCAUGUAGGAUCUCAAUGGCAACAACCUGAGGGCAUACAGCUGCAUGCCAGGAUCGUGGCUUUCAUUAGCACUCUUCUUCUAAUUGGCUUGCCAAUAGUAGGUGGUUAGUCAUCAACAUGUACGAGUUGCCAUGGCUGGCAGGUGGUUGCUUCAGAGCUGAUUUGGUUCCUUUGAUACGAUGAUCUGGUACUGGGAGGUGGGAAAAAUCUCCUUGGACUGGAUGAGCCUGUAGGUCUUUCCCAGCUUUGGUGAUUCUAUGAUUCCAUUCCUUGCAG